UACGGAGGGUCCGAGCGUUAAUCGGAAUUACUGGGCGUAAAGCGCGCGUAGGUGGUUUGAUAAGUCGGAUGUGAAAGCCCUGGGCUCAACCUGGGAACUGCAUCCGAUACUGUCAGACUAGAGUAUGGUAGAGGGUAGUGGAAUUUCUGGUGUAGCGGUGAAAUGCGUAGAUAUCAGAAGGAACAUCAGUGGCGAAGGCGGCUACCUGGACCAAUACUGACACUGAGGUGCGAAAGCGUGGGGAGCAAACGAUAGAUACCCGCGAACUC
rnacentral:rRNA from 1 species